UUAUCCCCAUCAUUCGGAAGCUGGGCUGCUUGGGGGUGAUAAUAUUUGGGAGACAAGCGUUCCGCCAACGGCAACAUCAUGCUACAGAUCUGUUUGAUUUGGCUCAUCUUGAGUUUCUUUGAGGAAGCCAGAGGGCAGAUUGUCGUCACCCAGACCCCAGCUUCUUUACAGGCGAAUCCUGGGGACAGAGUCACCUUCCAGUGCAAAGCUUCCUCUUCCAUGGGUGAUGAUAUGGCCUUAUAUCAGUUUAAACCAGGACAGAUACCCAAGCUACUUAUUCAUGAUGCUACGAGCCGUUUUGAAGGGACCCCAGAUCGCUUCAGUGGUACCUACAGUAACACUGACUUCUCCUUCACUAUCAAUGGUGUCCAUGCCAAGGACGAAGCAGUCUAUUUCUGUGGCCAAGACAACAGCUUUCCUCUACACAGUGAUACACUUCAGUACAAAAACCACCUCAGUGAAUUAAGGCAGGGGAGAGAAAUGGAACUGGUGUUUUGCAGCAGAAGCAGCAGCACCCUUCUAGCUUGCUAGAAUGGAGGGUGAGAGAACAACUGAAAGCCCAUGCAGAUCAACCAAAAGAAAGCCAGGUUUUUGGAUUCUCUAAGAACUUUGCUUCCAGGGAAGCUGCGCACAAUGUUAAAGAGGCGGUAGCUUCACCUCAGCCUCAGUCCAAGGCACAGGUGCAUCAGAAGCUGCGUUGCACUGAGUCAAACUAUUGGUCCACCCAGCCCAGGGCUGGAUUAGCCACUAAGCAAGAUGA